UGGGGAAUAUUGCACAAUGGAGGGAACUCUGAUGCAGCGACGCCGCGUGAACGAAGAAGGCUUUCGAGUCGUAAAGUUCUUUUAUAUGGGAAGAUAAUGACGGUACCAUAAGAAAAAGCCCCGGCUAACUACGUGCCAGCAGCCGCGGUAAUACGUAGGGGGCUAGCGUUGUCCGGAAUCACUGGGCGUAAAGGGUUCGCAGGCGUAAAUGCAAGUCAGGUGUAAAAGGCAGUAGCUUAACUACUGUAAGCAUUUGAAACUGCAUAUCUUGAGAAGAGUAGAGGUAAGUGGAAUUUUUAGUGUAGCGGUGAAAUGCGUAGAUAUUAAAAAGAAUACCGGUGGCGAAGGCGACUUACUGGGCUCAUUCUGACGCUGAGGAACGAAAGCGUGGGUAGCAAACAGG
rnacentral:rRNA from 1 species